GCCGUAAUAGCUCAGUGGGGAGAGCGUUAGACUGAAGAUCUAAAGGUGCCUGGUUCGAUCCCGGGUUUCGGCA
rnacentral:tRNA from 1 species